UCGGGGAAUUUGAGGACUUUAGCUUGCAUACUUGGAGGAUUUGAAGAUUUCAACUUGCAUACUCAGGGAAUUUGAAAACUUCAAUC
rnacentral:pre_miRNA from 1 species